rnacentral:tRNA from 1 species
UCUGUAGCUCAGUUGGAUAGAGCAACGGCCUUCUAAGCCGUGGGUCGGGGGUUCGAAUCCCUCCAGG